rnacentral:rRNA from 1 species
CAAAAACAUGUCCUCUUGAUUAUAUUUUGAGGUCUGGCCUGCUCACUGAUAAAUUUAAAGAGCCGCGGUAUUUUGACCGUGCAAAGGUAGCAUAAUCAUUAGUCUUUUAAUUAAGGGCUGGAAUGAAUGGCUUGACGAGAAAUUAACUGUCUCUUAAUAAUUUAUAAAAUUUAACUUUUGAGUCAAAAGGCUUAAAUUUUUCUUUAGGACGAGAAGACCCUAUAGAGCUUAACAUAUAAUUUAUAUUUAUACAUUAGAUGGUUUUUAUAUAUUUAAUGAUAAUGUUUUGUUGGGGUGACAUGAAGAAUUAAUAAACUCUUCAUUAUAAAAUCAUUAAUUUAUGUUUAUUUUUGAUCCAUAAUUUAUGAUCAUAAGAUUAAGUUACCUUAGGGAUAACAGCGUAAUUGUUUUUGAGAGCUCAAAUCAACAAAGCAGAUUGCGACCUCGAUGUUGGAUUAAGAAAAAUUUUGGGUGC